rnacentral:rRNA from 1 species
UAGCCAGACUCCUACGGGAGGCAGCAGUGGGGAAUAUUGCACAAUGGGGGAAACCCUGAUGCAGCGACGCCGCGUGAAGGAAGAAGUAUUUCGGUAUGUAAACUUCUAUCAGCAGGGAAGAAAAUGACGGUACCUGACUAAGAAGCCCCGGCUAACUACGUGCCAGCAGCCGCGGUAAUACGUAGGGGGCAAGCGUUAUCCGGAUUUACUGGGUGUAAAGGGAGCGUAGGCGGUGCAGCAAGUCAGAAGUGAAAGCCCGGGGCUCAACUCCGGGACUGCUUUUGAAACUGUUGAACUAGAGUGCAGGAGAGGUAAGUGGAAUUCCUAGUGUAGCGGUGAAAUGCGUAGAUAUUAGGAGGAACACCAGCGGCGAAGGCGGCGUACUGGACUGUAAAUGACGCUGAGGCUCGAAAGCGUGGGGAGCAAACAGGAUUAGAUACCCCUGUACA